GUACUCGCUUCGGCGGUACAUAUACUGACAUUGGAACGAUACAGAGAUUAGCAUGGCCCCUGCGCAAGGAUGACACACAGAUUUUAGAUUUGCUUGUUUUUUAC